rnacentral:rRNA from 1 species
AUGAACGCUGGCGGCGUGCCUAAUACAUGCAAGUCGAACGGAGAUAGCAAUAUCUUAGUGGCGACCGGGUGCGUAACACGUAGCUAACCUGCCCUCCUCGCGGGGGACAACUGUUGGAAACGACAGCUAAUACCGCAUGACAUCGGAGAGAACAAAUAUUUCCGAUUAAACUUACGGGGCGAGAGGAGGGGGCUGCGGCCCAUCAGGUAGUUGGGGCGGUAAAAGCGCACCAAGCCGACGACGGGUAGGGGGCCUGAGAGGGUGGUCCCCCACACUGGGACUGACAACGGCCCAGACUCCUACGGGGAGGCAGCAGUAAGGGAUAUUGCGCAAUGGGCGAAAGCCUGACGCAGCAACGCCGCGUGGAGGAUGAAGGCCUCGGGUCGUAAACUUCUUUUAGCAGGGGACGAGGAAGGACGGUACCUGCGGAAUCAGUCACGGCUAACUACGUGCCAGCAGCCGCGGUAAAACGUAGGUGGCAAGCGUUAUCCGGAAUUACUGGGCGUAAAGGGUGUGCAGGCGGGGUGGCAAGCGGUGUAUGAAAUCUCCGGGCUUAACCUGGAGGGGUUAUGCCAGACUGCUACUCUAGAGGGACGAGAGAGGGGGGGUGGAAUUCCGGGUGUAGUGGUGAAAUGCGUAGAGAUCCGGAGGAACCCCAGAGGCGAAGGCGGCCCCCUGGCUCGUACCUGACGCUCAGCCACGAAAGCAUGGGGAGCGAACGGGAUUAGAAACCCCGGUAGUCCAUGCCGUAAACGAUGCAAACUAGGCGCUGACGGUCUCAACCCCGCCGGUGCCGCAGCUAACGCGAUAAGUUUGCCGCCUGGGGAGUACGGUCGCAAGGCUAAAACUCAAAGGAAUUGACGGGGACCCGCACAAGCAGCGGAGCAUGUGGUUUAAUUCGACGCAACGCGAAGAACCUUACCUGGGUUUGACAUGUAGGUGACAGCCGUGGAAACACGGUCUUCCUUCGGGACACCUUCACAGGUGGUGCAUGGCUGUCGUCAGCUCGUGUCGUGAGAUGUUGGGUUAAGUCCCGCAACGAGCGCAACCCCCGUUCCAUGUUGCCAGCAUUCAGUUGGGGACUCAUGGGAGACUGCCGGUGACAAACCGGAGGAAGGUGGGGACGACGUCAAGUCAUCAUGCCCCUUAUGUCCAGGGCUACACACGUGCUACAUUGGCGCGUACAGAGGGUUGCAAUACCGUGAGGUGGAGCGAAUCCCAAAAAGCGCGUCUCGGUUCGGAUUGAAGGCUGAAACUCGCCUUCAUGAAGGUGGAGUUGCUAGUAAUCGCGGAUCAGCAACGCCGCGGUGAAUACGUUCCCGGGUCUUGUACACACCGCCCGUCACACCACGAAAGCGAGCAACACCCGAAGCCGGUGGCCUAACCCUUACGGGAGGGAGCCGUCGAAGGUGGGGCCCGUGAUUGGGGGU